rnacentral:rRNA from 1 species
AACCAGCACCUCAAGUGGUCAGGAUGAUUAUUGGGCCUAAAGCAUCCGUAGCCUGUUCUGUAAGUUUUCGGUUAAAUCUAUACGCUCAACGUAUAGGCUGCCGGAAAUACUGCAGAGCUAGGGAGUGGGAGAGGUAGACGGUACUCGGUAGGAAGGGGUAAAAUCCUUUGAUCUAUUGAUGACCACCUGUGGCGAAGGCGGUCUACCAGAACACGUUCGACGGUGAGGGAUGAAAGCUGGGGGAGCAAACCGG